AUCCCUGUGGCUCAGUUGGUAGAGCAUGGUGUGUGCAACGCCAGGGUUGUGGGUUUGAUUCCCACAGGGGGCC
rnacentral:tRNA from 1 species